AAGAGGGCCUGCUGAAUCAUCUUGCAGUUUUGAGGAUAAUGGGCCCCCUGGAUGAGCUAAUGAAAUGGAAAGAAGACCUUCCAGGCCUUUUCAGUGCACAGAGCAGGACUGAGCUGCCGCAGGCCCGAGAGCAGAUAGGGGAAAGGAAACCAGCUCUUCUGCUGUCAGAUGCACGUUGUCCCCAUGAGCGCACAGAUGUGCUUGCCACUGGUGUGAAACGUGCAGGAAGUUGAUUAUGCCCAGUAGAUGACCUGCUUUGGGGAAUGCCAGCUUCCCAAGUUCUAGGCCGGCUUCAUGCGCUUAUUUUCCUGGGAGUCCUAUUAUGUAUUGCCCGCUCUCCACAACCCUUAUGCCUUACCCUCUCCCAUAGCUCCGCAGUGGGUUUUUUCUGGUAAAAUGUAUGCAGUACCUCCCUUUGGUUGUGUUUGGGGCUGUGAAAGUCUCAGCAGCAAGUAGUCAGUACAUCAGAAACAAGCUCCUGUGGAAAGGAGCCCUGGAUUACCAGUGAUGGGACCUGGCUGUGGUCCCAACUCUGCCACUUGGUAAACUCUGACCUUGGGCAAAACUCAGGCACCCCUAGGAUUUCAUGUUCUUGCCUGUGAAUUAAGGAGCGGACCUCAGGAGUGGCAGGGGUUUCCUGCGGAUUACAGCUCUGAGCCAUACUCGCAACUUCCCUAGAGGGGGUCAAGGGCUUUCCUGGUGGUCCAGUGGUUAAGACUCCGUGCUUCCACUGCAGGGUGCACAGGUUUGAUCCUUGGUCGGGGAAGAUCCUGCAUGCUGCGUGGUGCGACCAAAAAAAAAAAAAGACAAGAAAAAAUGAAAUAUAGUAAAGUGGGUCAAAAUGGUUUCGAGGCGUAGCUCAGCGGGAGGAGUGCUACCUUCAGCCAGCAGUGUCCGCGGAUGGCCCAAGGAGAGGAAACAGGGUGAUGGUUGGCUGGCUACAUCUUGAUCCUUGAACAAACCCUUUCUCAGACCCUUUCUCAUGGAUCGUAGGAAGGCAACCUACUACAGAUUUGGACAACCUGGAAAGGACCCAUCUUGGCCUCGUGGGCACCUGGCUUAACCCUCUCUGUGGGGAUAAUAAUAAACAUGCUUGCCGUAUGGGGUUCUUAUAGGACUCAAUGAAUUCAUAUCAGUAAAGCCCUGAGAACAGGCUGAAUUCCCAUAGUUAUUAUAUCAUUGUACAAAACUAUGAAUCUUAGGAAAACAGGGCUAGCAUCCUCUGAAUGUGGUGUCCCUGUGCUGUUUCUCUUCGCUGCUAAAAUUUCCCUUGUCCAUUUGUUGGGGCUAGUGAUUCUCAGAACAGGGCAAAAGAUGGGAUACCCCGGAUCCUAUUGGAUUUAUAUGUGGAUCUGAAAGACAACUUGUUCAACUCUUUAUAUCAGAUUCCUUUCAAAUAGGACUGCUUCCGUGUGAGGUCCCCCAGCUCACAAAGACUGAGUUAUACCCCUUGCUGUACAGUUGUACAUACCCAGCAGGUGCAUAGAUGACCACGCAACAAAGCACGGAUUCAGCACCACAUCAGCCCAGGUUUAAAUCCCUCUCUCUUUGGGCACCCAGUUGUUUGACCUUGGGCCUCAGUUUCAAGUGUCUGUAAAAUGGGGCUACGAGUUGUGCUCCCCAGAAUCUUUGCAGAGAUUAAAGGAAGGUGUGAACGUGGAAACAUUUGUCCAGUCCAGUGCCUGGCCUGGCACCUCACAAACACUUAAUAAAGAGUGAAGUUAACCUU